GAUGAACGCUGGCGGCGUGCCUAAUACAUGCAAGUCGAGCGAACGGACGAGAAGCUUGCUUCUCUGAUGUUAGCGGCGGACGGGUGAGUAACACGUGGAUAACCUACCUAUAAGACUGGGAUAACUUCGGGAAACCGGAGCUAAUACCGGAUAAUAUUUUGAACCGCAUGGUUCAAAAGUGAAAGACGGUCUUGCUGUCACUUAUAGAUGGAUCCGCGCUGCAUUAGCUAGUUGGUAAGGUAACGGCUUACCAAGGCAACGAUGCAUAGCCGACCUGAGAGGGGGAUCGGCCACACUGGAACUGAGACACGGUCCAGACUCCUACGGGAGGCAGCAGUAGGGAAUCUUCCGCAAUGGGCGAAAGCCUGACGGAGCAACGCCGCGGGAGUGAUGAAGGUCUUCGGAUCGUAAAACUCUGUUAUUAGGGAAGAACAUAGGUGUAAGUAACUGUGCACAUCUUGACGGUACCUAAGCAGAAAGCCACGGCUAACUACGU
rnacentral:rRNA from 1 species